rnacentral:rRNA from 1 species
UACGUAGGGGGCAAGCGUUGUCCGGAUUUAUUGGGCGUAAAGAGCGUGUAGGCGGCCUGACAGGUCUGCUGUGAAAACUCGAGGCUCAACCUCGAGAUGUCGGCGGAAACCGUCUGGCUAGAGUCCGGAAGAGGAGAGUGGAAUUCCUGGUGUAGAGGUGAAAUUCGUAGAUAUCGGGAGGAACACCGGUGGCGAAGGCGGCGAUCUGGGUCGAUACUGACGCUGAGGUGCGAAAGCGUGGGGAGCAAACAGG